CUCUCUGCCUCACUCAUUGUCAUGUGUCCAUGCCUUGUGGUCCUUGGUCAUCGUCCUGGUUCCCAGUUCCUGCCUGGUCCUGCAUCUGCCAACGUUCAGUGAAGCGACAACGUCCCGGCACCUUGGUCCGCCGCACACGUCCUCGUUCGCCGCACACAGUAUUGGGGGGGGUGACGUGACACUUGACAACAAGCGAUCCCAUCACCACUGUGCCAAUCCCAGCAGAGAGAGCAGGGUCGUUGUUUUUUUUUUUCUCUCCAUUUAAUGUGUGGUCUAUUGAUUCAGCCCUUUCAAACCUUUAAAUAUUUCAAAAUAAUUCAAGGAUUUUCAAGGAUUUUCAUAAACCUACAUAGGUCCUUAAAUGCAACAACAUCCAGCUGUCAACGGCGUGAGUGGGACAGAGUACCCGCAGAAACAGCGCCCCCUUCCUACGUGUCUGCAUCAAACACUCACACAUGCUGUCCUUGGUAUGCAAACAGCAGAAUGAUGUAUCCCUCCUGUACCUGUGAGCCUUAUUUACGUUAAUCCAUCAGCCUGCCCCUCGAUGUCAGAGUGUCAUCUGAAAGUGGACUGGAGAAGGACUAAUAACUGUGUUGACUGACUGUAAGGUGACGCCAUGACAGACCCAUCCGAGGCGAGGGUUGCAGUUCCACCUAUUAAAGCUCACCACGACCUUGAGUCAAAUCAAAGAGCCCGAGUGUUGUACUGAGGACAGGCCUUGGACAGCAGUGGUCAACAAGAGCCGUUCUCUUGCAAUGGACACUAAAGCUGAAGCCAAAGCUUCGGUUUCCCUGAAACUCAGCUAAUGUUUCACAAAUGACUGAAGGCACUCAUUUCUCCAGAAGUAGAUUAAAAAUAAAGUCUGAUGUCUGCAGGCCAACAACACCAGUAAUUAGCCGUCAUCAUCAGAAUAUAUUGCUGCUUCGUGCUAAUUGUGGUUAGCCAGUUAACAGUCACCUUGUCCUUUAACUUCCACCUAUUAAACUCAUACCUCAUGUUUAAGCAGCAGUGGAUUUAGGCAUGUUGUCAGCAGUAGGUGGUUAGAAGGUCGCCGGUUCUAAUCCGGUUUUAGUCUUUUUGUAUGGAGUUUGCAUGUGGUUGGUCCACCUUCCAAAGACAUGUUCAAAGACAUGUAACCUGUAGGUUAGACACUAAACCAAGCACAGAAUGUUGCAAGAGUAGGACUGUGAUCUCUUCACAGUGACAUAAUCAUGACCAGAACAAAUAGUUUUUAAAGCAACGCUCAACUUUAUUUAACAAGCCACUGUCAAGAUGCACAAGACUUAUACUUAUACUUCAUCUUAAUUUAUUGUGGUUUAUUAUGUUCACGAUUAAUUGUGAUCAGUCAUGAUUAGUUGUGAUUAAUCACGAUUGAUUGUGGUCCAUCGUGAAGUUUCAGCCAACUCCUACCAACACAGUGCUUGAAAGAAGUGCUACACUUAUACUUUUGGAAAAGAGAAAGUAUCUAAAAGUCAAUAUGAUUCUGCCUAUACUGUAUGUGUCCCUGCUGUGCAAACUCCUAACUGUCUGCACUGGUACAUCUGAACAAUGCGGUUGAAUAUUGCUUUUCCUGUAUUUAUGAGUCAUGUAUCUACAGCAGAAUUGGACAAUGAACACAAAAUAGAGGAUAUUUCCUCCGUACACACUCUAAAGCUCUCAGUGCUGUGGACUGGUACGCAAUAAAAUGCCUGUGCCUUAUGAACAAACCCGGCUCUUCAAGCAUAUACACUGUGUAAUGCAACGCCUGGGUAAUAUAUUAUGACUAAAGAAAGUCUCAUUGGAAGAAUAACUGGAUUUUACCCCCAGUGUGAUGUCUCAAAGGGGAAUGGAGAAAGAUUAAUGCAGUAAAUAUAAAAGGGCUAUUUCUGGAUCUCCUGCACUGGUUAGUACCCAGUCAGUCUGGUUCCUGCUCUACAGUGUGAAGCACUAAAUGUGUUCACUUUACAUUGACAGUGCAGACUCCUGAUUGUUUCCCAGGUUUUUCACAGCAGGGAUUUCACAGUAGAUUUUUCUUUUGUGCCUUUCCUCACACUGAGUGCUUCACACUGAAGCAACAGGAACACUGGUCUUUUAGACGGAUCGCACUCGCCGCCAAAAGAUAGGAUCAAAUCUGCUCAGGUUAUCAGUUCCAGCACUCGGGGGACAAUGAUCUAUGUGAGACUCUCUUCCAACAACAUGCUGCAGAAAGUGGACAAAAAGGAUUGGAGCCGUUAUCCUUCAGACGUCUGUUGGACGAAUGGGAAAACAGUUUUUUUCUGCACUGAAUCAACCAAACAGGGCAACAUAUGCAUCAACCACCUUAACAACUGUUAACUGCCCCCUGCCCUGGGUUCUCAUGUCUUCAUCUCUGAGACCUUGUGUUGUCUCAGUCAACCUCAGCACCAGAAGUACAUUAUUACUAAAUAAAAUGUGGAGUCACUCGCUCCUAUGUGAUGGAAAUACACACAAAGAGUCUACUACAAAUAUUAUUAAUCUAAACUACUUUAGUCGUUAAUUAUCAAACCCUCCCUCUGUGAAUUUUUCAUCUCUAACGACAACCAUCUGUGAACCAACUGUCAUGGUUAUUUUUGGUUAUAGUUGUACAUUAUGGUGGGAAAGUCUAAAGUUCUAAAAGGAACUAAAUAAAAUCAAAUCUUUUAAUUCUGAAAUAUCUUCUCUCUACACAUCCUCUAAUUAGGUCUAGACUUCUGCAGGUGAUAUUUCCAUCACAGAAUUCUUUCUUUGUUUUUGGCACCAGGUCAGAACCUGUUUUGGGUCAUUAGAGCUUCACUUCUUUUCAAAUGUUUCUUUGAGCGUCAGGAAAAGCAGAAAUCAUUUCAAUCAGUUUUGUAACAUUUUGUUCUCUUCGAUUUGAUCUUUGUUAUUCAAACCUCAGGGACAGCGGCUCUUCUGCAGCUCUGCAGACGGACAGCUGGUGUUUUCCGAUUCUGUUCAUUUUAUUUACAAUUUUAUUGAGAUCUAUUCUCUGAUUACUUCCAUUCCAUCACUAUAUCUUCCAAGAACGAAACAAAAAAUACAAAGACGGAAAAGUUUCUCUGCUACAAUAGGGAACUGACUUCUCUCUCUCACUCAUCACUGUUGACGCCCGCUGUGAAACAUUGGACCUAAUGGUCUGACAUGCUUAACUUAUGUUGGCUCCUGUUCCUCUCACCUUUUCCUGCACUCUAGCUUUUAGUCUAACUCCUGUCUCUUAAGUUCACAGACCAGCCGUACCUGCAGUCUCGGGGAGGCAGCUCAGGAUGGACGAGUAGAUUUAAAGGUUUAACGAAGCUUUCCUGAAGCCAGGGCAGCAGCAGCAGCAGCAGCAGCAGCAGCAGCAGCACAGUCAGUAAUCUCCAAUGCCAAGUCACGGUUACUAAUCCUUAUUUUAGACGCUUUACAAUUCACCGGUGGUCAGUUUUCUCUAUUUCUGUUGGGAUUUAAACAUGUGGGUUUUUUUAUGUUCAUUUAAAUGGGAUGUUAGGGAAUCAGCAGCUGUUUGACUGGCUGGACGUUUUUAUUUCUUUUAGGCAUUUAUGGCUCAAAUUGCCCUUUUUGCAAUCAUGUUUGUGUCCAGGUUCGAUUCUACCUCGUACCCAAAAGCCUUGGACUUUUUCAGAAUUGGAAAUCCUGUUUCCUUUAUUUAUUUAUUUAUUAUCUGAACAAUUCACCAACAAAACAAACAGUAGCAAGUAUGACAAGCUAACAAGCUAUUAGCCCGCUCGUUCCCAUUAUUUUUAGGGCAGGAUAUGACAUGAGGAAUUCAUUAAAUGCACAAAAAUGUGAGCGGUUCCUACAUCCUGUCCUGGAGAACCAUCAUUCCUCCAAAAAACAAACAAACAACUAAACACUAAAUGUUUUGUGUCUUGGUUUAAUAGCAGGUCUCAACUAACGUUUUUAGAUGCAUACCGCCACCUAGUGUACUAUACUGUGUAGUCUCACGGUAUGACCAAUGACGAAAAUGUUGCUGCCUACUCUC